AUUGAACGCUGGCGGCAUGCCUCACACAUGCAAGUCGAACGGCAGCACGGGAGCAAUCCUGGUGGCGAGUGGCGAACGGGUGAGUAAAGUAUCGGAGCGUGCCCAGUCGUGGGGGAUAACGUAGCGAAAGUUACGCUGAUACCGCAUACGAUCUAUGGAUGAAAGCGGGGGAUCGCAAGACCUCGCGCGAUUGGAGCGGCCGAUAUCAGAUUAGGUAGUUGGUGGGGUAAAGGCUCACCAAGCCGACGAUCUGUAGCUGGUCUGCGAGGACGACCAGCCACACUGGGACUGAGACACGGCCCAGACUCCUACGGGAGGCAGCAGUGGGGAAUUUUGGACAAUGGGCGAAAGCCUGAUCCAGCCAUGCCGCGUGCAGGAUGAAGGCCUUCGGGUUGUAAACUGCUUUUGUACGGAACGAAAAGGUUUGGCCUAAUAAGCUGAGCUCAUGACGGUACCGUAAGAAUAAGCACCGGCUAACUACGUGCCAGCCGCCGCCGUAA
rnacentral:rRNA from 1 species